rnacentral:rRNA from 1 species
GACGAACGCUGGCGGCGUGCUUAACACAUGCAAGUCGAACGGAAAGGCCCUGCUUGCAGGGUACUCGAGUGGCGAACGGGUGAGUAACACGUGGGUGAUCUGCCCAGCACUUCGGGAUAAGCCUGGGAAACUGGGUCUAAUACCGGAUAGGAGCCAUUUUUAGUGUGAUGGUUGGAAAGUUUUUUCGGUGUAGGAUGAGCUCGCGGCCUAUCAGCUUGUUGGUGGGGUAAUGGCCUACCAAGGCGGCGACGGGUAGCCGGCCUGAGAGGGUGGACGGCCACAUUGGGACUGAGAUACGGCCCAGACUCCUACGGGGGGCAGCAGUGGGGAAUAUUGCACAAUGGGCGCAAGCCUGAUGCAGCGACGCCGCGUGGGGGAUGACGGCCUUCGGGUUGUAAACUCCUUUCGCUAGGGACGAAGCUUUUUGUGACGGUACCUAGAUAAGAAGCACCGGCUAACUACGUG